GCGCAGCAGGCGAGAAUCGUUCACAAUGGGCGCAAGCCUGAUGGCGCGACGCCGCGUGUGGGAUGGAGGCCUUCGGGUUGUAAACCAACUGUCACAGGGGAAGAAAGGCACGGAUGCUAACAUCGUCCGUGUUUGACGUUACCCUGAGAGGAAGCCACGGCUAACUCCGUGCCAGCAGCCGCGGUAAUACGGAGGUGGCAAGCGUUGUUCGGAAUUACUGGGCGUAAAGGGUGCGCAGGCGGUCUGUUGUGUUCGAUGUGAAAAUCCCCCGGCUCACCCGGGGAACUGCAAUCGAAAACUGACAGACUUGAGUGCAGGAGAGGAGAGCGG
rnacentral:rRNA from 1 species